rnacentral:misc_RNA from 1 species
UCCGAGUUGACCCCGGCAGUCUCCCAUGAGUCCCCACCAUAACGUGCUGGCAACAUAGGAUGAGGGUUGCGCUCGUUGCGGGACUUAACCCAACAUCUCACGACACGAGCUGGCGACAACCAUGCACCACCUGUCUUCCUGCCCCGAAAGGCUUCCUCGAUUAAGAGUAAUUCAGGAGACGUCAAGUCUAGGUAAGGUUCUUCGCGUUGCUUCGAAUUAAACCACAUGCUCCGCUGCUUGUGCGGGCCCCCGUCAAUUCCUUUGAGUUUUAAUCUUGCGACCGUACUCCCCAGGCGGAAUACUUAAUGCGUUAGCGGCGGCACGGAGGUCAUGACAACCCCCACACCUAGUAUUCAUCGUUUACGGCGUGGACUAC